AUUCUUGUAGUUGAAGUACAAUGGCAGUUUUUCAUACUGUUGGUCUAGGUUGAAGUCCUGGUAGGAAUA
rnacentral:tRNA from 1 species